AUUGAACGCUGGCGGCAGGCCUAACACAGGCAAGUCGAGCGGAUGACGGGAGCUUGCUCCUUGAUUCAGCGGCGGACGGGUGAGUAAUGCCUAGGAAUCUGCCUGGUAGUGGGGGACAACGUUUCGAAAGGAACGCUAAUACCGCAUACGUCCUACGGGAGAAAGCAGGGGACCUUCGGGCCUUGCGCUAUCAGAUGAUCCUAGGUCGGAUUAGCUAGUAGGUGAGGUAAUGGCUCACCUAGGCGACGAUCCGUAACUGGUCUGAGAGGAUGAUCAGUCACACUGGAACUGAGACACGGUCCAGACUCCUACGGGAGGCAGCAGUGGGGAAUAUUGGACAAUGGGCGAAAGCCUGAUCCAGCCAUGCCGCGUGUGUGAAGAAGGUCUUCGGAUUGUAAAGCACUUUAAGUUGGGAGGAAGGGCAGUAAGUUAAUACCUUGCUGUUUUGACGUUACCGACAGAAUAAGCACCGGCUAACUCUGUGCCAGCCGCCGCGGUAAGAC
rnacentral:rRNA from 1 species